AACGCGCAGAACCUUACCAACCCUUGACAUCGCCUGACCGGCCUGGAGACAGGUCUUUCCCGCAAGGGACAGGUGGACAGGUGCUGCAUGGCUGUCGUCAGCUCGUGUCGUGAGAUGUUCGGUUAAGUCCGGCAACGAGCGCAACCCACACCCUCGGUUGCCAGCAGGUCAAGCUGGGCACUUUGGGGGAACUGCCCGUGAUAAGCGGGAGGAAGGUGUGGAUGACGUCAAGUCCUCAUGGCCCUUACGGGUUGGGCUACACACGUGCUACAAUGGUGGUGACAGAGGGUUUAUCCCUAAAAGCCAUCUCAGUUCGGAUUGUCGUCUGCAACUCGACGGCAUGAAGUCGGAAUCGCUAGUAAUCGCGCAUCAGCUCGGCGCGGUGAAUACGUUCCCGGGCCUUGUACACACCGCCCGUCACACCAUGGGAGUUGGGUUGACCCGAAGGUGGUGCGCCGACCUCGCAAGAGGGGGCAGCCAACCACGGUCAG
rnacentral:rRNA from 1 species